GAUCAUGGCUCAGGAUGAACGCUAGCGACAGGCUUAACACAUGCAAGUCGAGGGGCAGCACAGGGUAGCAAUACUUGGGUGGCGACCGGCGCACGGGUGAGUAACGCGUAUGCAACUUACCUAUCAGGAGGGGGAUAGCCCGGCGAAAGUCGGAUUAACUACCCCAUGAAACGAGGGGUCCCGCAUGGGAAUAUUUGUUAAAGAUUCAUCGCUGAUAGAUAGGCAUGCAUUCCA
rnacentral:rRNA from 1 species